GAGCAGUCCAUUUUCGGGAAAGGGGGAGGAGUCUAACCGAAGAUGUUACCUUUAUAAAGAACGUCUUUGCUGAGUGAAAAUAAAUUAGAGCGAAGCUGCCAAGCAACAAUAAAGUACCCUGAAGCCAGAUUGAGUGUUUGAGAGCUGCCUUGAUUAUGAAGGGGAAAAGUGUAAUGACUGUUUUCCUGUUUGCACUUGUUGCAAAAUACUCCUUGUCCCAUCCUAUCAAUUUAACAGUGAUGUUGAAUGACCCAGUUACACUCUGCUCUGGAUCAUGCCAUGGUGGUGUCAUCGAGUUGAGGCGUUAUCAGGAAUCUCAAUCAGGGUCCAUCAUCACGAAGAUGGUUGCUAAACUUGACGGAGAUAAUUUAACCACAGGUGAAGGAUUUUUUAAGAAGAGGUUUGAAAACAGGGAUGGAAAAUUCUCUCUAACCAUCUCCUCAGCUGAGUACAAUGACAUGGGGUUGUACGAGUGUGUCUGUGGCGAGUACAACCAGCAUGUAAAUCUACAAGUUUUGGUCCCCAAAGAAAAAUCUGCCCAUGUUGGAGAAAAAGACACACUUGUCUGCCAUGGCUUAACUAAUAAAAUGACUAAGGACAGUGAGAUAUUUGUCCAGUGGAUGAAAGAUGGACAGAAUGUGUCUACCAUCAGUGCAGGGAAUAUAACCUAUGGCUCUGGGUAUAAGGACAGGGUAUCUGUGUCCAUGGAUGGUUACCGAAAGGGAGACAUUCUCCUCAACCUCACCGACUUACGCCUUUCUGAUCAGGGGACAUACUGGUGCUUCUUCGGUCCUGACCACCAGAGAGGAAAUCCAGGAGCUGUCAUUCUCACUAUCACACCAAAAGAAAAGCAGGACGACAACACAGGAAUGCCAACAUGGGUGAAGGUGGUGGUGGUGUUGGUGGUUGUUUUGGUGAUCAUCCUAGUUGCUGUUUACUGUUUUCUUGGAGGUAGAUUGAAAGAGACAAUGGCUGCUUGGUUUAAAGGGACUUGGUUGAGAUCUCAGUUCAGUCCCUGUCCAGAAGGGGAACAGGGUGGGGAGCAUCUCUCUGUCACCAUAAGUGAAAGUGAAUCAGAGACAGAAGAAGACAGGACUGGGACAAGGACAUGUUUUGUCCCCUAUGCACCUGCCUGUAUCAUCAGAGAGAAGACAGGACUGGGACAAGGACAUGUUUUGUCCCCUAUGCACCUGCCUGUAUCAUCAGAGCCCUGUCAGGACCUCCCUCUACCACCGGCCUUGUUACCAAGGCUACUGCCGGACCUCCCUCU
rnacentral:lncRNA from 13 species